rnacentral:tRNA from 1 species
GGUGUUCUGGCAUCAGUUGGUAGAGCAUGGUGUUUGCAACGCCAGGGUUGUGGGUUCGAUUCCCACGGGGGACCA